GGGUUGUAAACCGCUUUUCGGGGGGAAGAGGAAGGACGGUACCCCCGGAAUAAGUCUCGGCUAACUACGUGCCAGCAGCCGCGGUAAAACGUAGGAGGCAAACGUUAUCCGGAUUUACUGGGUGUAAAGCGCGUGCAGGCGGUUUCGUAAGUCGUGUGUGAAAGCGCUCAGGCUCAACCGGGCGAGGCCAUGCGAAACUGCGGAACUGGAGGCAGGUAGAGGCGUGUGGAAUUCCGGGUGUAGUGGUGAAAUGCGUAGAUAUCCGGAGGAACACCAGUGGCGAAGGCGACACGCUGGGCCUGACCUGACGCUAAGGCGCGAAAGCAUGGGGAGCGAACGGGAUUAGAAACCCCGGUAGUCCAUGCCGUAAACGAUGCGUACUAGGUGUUGCGGUGUCAAAACUGCAGUGCCGGAGCCAACGUGAUAAGUACGCCACCUGGGGACUACGGCCGCAAGGUUAAAACUCAA
rnacentral:rRNA from 1 species